GAUGAACGCUGGCGGCGUGCCUAAUACAUGCAAGUCGAGCGACGCGUGGACGGGUGAGUAACACGUCUAUAACCUCCUAUAAGACUGGGAUAACUUCGGGAAACCGGUGCUAAACCGGCUACUUUUCGCUGGAUCCGCUCUGCAUUAGCUAGUUGGUAAGGUAACGGCUUACCAAGGCCACGAUGCCUAGCCGACCUGAGAGGGUGAUCGGCCACACUGGAACUGAGACACGGUCCAGACUCCUACGGGAGGCAGCAGUAGGGAAUAUUCCGCAAUGGGCGAAAGCCUGACGGAGCAACGCCGCGUGAGUGAUGAAGGUCUUCGGAUCGUAAAACACUGUUAUUAGGGAAGCGGUACCUACACAGAAAGCAACGGCUAACUACGUGCCAGCAGCCGCGGUAAUUC
rnacentral:rRNA from 1 species